CCUACGGGAGGCUGCAGUGAGGAAUAUUGGUCAAUGGACGCGAGUCUGAACCAGCCAAGUAGCGUGAAGGAUGACUGCCCUAUGGGUUGUAAACUUCUUUUAUAUGGGAAUAAAAUGUUCCACGUGUGCCUUUUUGUAUGUACCAUAUGAAUAAGGAUCGGCUAACUCCGUGCCAGCAGCCGCGGUAAUACGGAGGAUCCGAGCGUUAUCCGGAUUUAUUGGGUUUAAAGGGAGCGUAGGUGGGUUGUUAAGUCAGUUGUGAAAGUUUGCGGCUCAACCGUAAAAUUGCAGUUGAAACUGGCAGUCUUGAGUACAGUAGAGGUGGGCGGAAUUCGUGGUGUAGCGGUGAAAUGCUUAGAUAUCACGAAGAACUCCGAUUGCGAAGGCAGCUUACUAGACUGCAACUGACACUGAGGCUCGAAAGUGUGGGUAUCAAACAGGAUUAGAUACCCCAGUAGUC
rnacentral:rRNA from 1 species